UGCGGGAAUGUGACCGAUCCCGGAGAAGCUGUCGGGAGCCCCGGGGAGAGUUCUCUUUUCUUUGUGAAAGGCAGGGCGCCCUGGAAUGUUUUCGCCCCGUGAGAGGGGCCAAAGCCCUGAAAAACGUUGUGGUUUCGGCAUCAUCUGGUGAGCUCUCCCUGGCCCUUGAAAAUCCGGGGGAGAG
rnacentral:ncRNA from 1 species